GCCCUCGUAGUUCAAUGGAUAGAACUACGCACUCCUAACGCGUAAAUCGAGGUCCGAUUCCUCGCGAGGGCACAA
rnacentral:tRNA from 2 species